rnacentral:rRNA from 1 species
CCUACGGGUGGCUUCAGUCGAGAAUCAUUCUCAAUGGGGGAAACCCUGAUGGUGCGACGCCGCGUGGGGGAAUGAAGUUCCUCGGAUUGUAAACUCCUGUCAUGUGGGAGCAAACUAAAACGCGAGUACCACACGAGGAAGAGUCGGAUAACUAUGAGCCAGCAGCCGCGGUAAAGCAGCGGUCUCAAUAGUUGUUUGGACUCACUGGGCGUGAAGGGUGGGGAGGUUGGUGCGUAAGGGGGGUGUGAAAGGCGCGGGCUCAACCCGCGGAGGGCACAUGAUACUGCAGGGUUAGAGUAAUGGAGAGGGAACCGGAAUGCGCAGUGUAGCAGUGAAAUGCUUAGAUAUCGAGAGGAACACUCGUGGCGAAGGCGGGUUCCUGGACAUGAACUGACGCUGAGGCACGAAGGCCAGGGUAGCGAAAGGGAUUAGAUACCCGAGUAGUC